CAAGUCGCACGAGAAAGUGGAGCAAUCCAUGAGUACAGUGGCGCACGGGUGAGUAACACGUGACUAACCUACCCUCGAGUGGGGAAUAACCUAGGGAAACCUGGGCUAAUACCGCAUAACACUUACGAGUCAAAGCAGCAAUGCGCUUGGGGAGGGGGUCGCGGCAGAUUAGCUAGUUGGUGGGGUAAUGGCCUACCAAGGCGAUGAUCUGUAUCCGGCCUGAGAGGGCGCACGGACACACUGGAACUGAAACACGGUCCAGACUCCUACGGGAGGCAGCAGUGGGGAAUUUUGCGCAAUGGGGGAAACCCUGACGCAGCAACGCCGCGUGGAGGAUGAAAUCCCUUGGGAUGUAAACUCCUUUCGAUCGGGACGAUUAUGACGGUACCGGAAGAAGAAGCCCCGGCUAACUUCGUGCCAGCAGCCGCGGUAAUACGAGGGGGGCAAGCGUUGUUCGGAAUUAUUGGGCGUAAAGGGUGCGUAGGCGGUUUGAUAAGUCAUCUGUGAAAUCUAUGGGCUCAACCCAUAGUCUGCAGGCGAAACUGUCGGGCUUGAGUAUGGGAGAGGUGAGUGGAAUUUCCGGUGUAGCGGUGAAAUGCGUAGAUAUCGGAAGGAACACCUGUGGCGAAAGCGGCUCACUGGACCAUUACUGACGCUGAUGCACGAAAGCUAGGGGAGCAAACAGGAUUAGAUACCCUGGUAGUCCUAGCCCUAAACGAUGAUUGCUUGAUGUGGAGGGUACCCAAUCCUUCCGUGUCGAAGCUAACGCGAUAAGCAAUCCGCCUGGGGAGUACGGUCGCAAGGCUUGAAACUCAAAGGAAUU
rnacentral:rRNA from 1 species